ensembl:snoRNA small nucleolar RNA SNORA50
AUGCACUGUCUUUGAUCCUGCGGAGCCUUCUCUAUGGCUCCCUAGGCUAAGUUACAGUUGCAAGAGCAAAUCAAAGGCUUGUAAUAACUGGGGUUACUUGGCAUUUCAUCCCAAGUUUCUCUUUUAAAUACAAUUCACAGUU